AUAUUGUUUCUAUUUUGCCCUUGUUGCAUUUUAACCAUGUAUACAUGCAGUCCAAACCAUUGAUGGGAAACAGAUACAACUUUCUAUUAGGAGAAAGUAUAGAGAAUGUUGUGCAACUAUUUUUUAUGCUAGCCUUUAUGUACAAGGUCAAAUGAGCCUUUUGUCCUAAGCUAGACCUGUCACAUUUACAACAAAGAGUUUAUGAGGUUAUUCUCUGACAAAUUCUAGGACAGCUAAGUUGAUUCAGGUGGCCAGGCAAGAGUCGAUCCAUCCUGAGCUCAAAUGCAUUUCCAGUUUGACCCUCCGCUUCAUCAGUAGGUGGAUUUUCCUAUCAAUUUGCAUCUCUACUUCUGACGAAAUGAGUGUUAGCACUGGAAUUGGUGCUAUGCCCCACACACCCGAAACUGGCUCUGACGAGAUAGAACCUGUUGGAUCCCCGAUACCUCCCAGGUUUGUUUAGUUUAUGGUUUCUUUUGAUUUUCUAUCAUUUCUUAAUUAUUAGUAGUUGUUUUCGUAUGAGUAAACCCUGCGAGCAACAAGAACAAAAUUAAAUCAAAUUAGUAAAAUUAUGGUGAUCAUUUUCUGUUCCUUCAUCUCACAUUCAAUUGGCGAUGGUCCACAAACUCCUGAAAAUGACACCAUUCCUUCAUUCCCUCCUGCUUUGGCCAGUUAUUGAUGAAACCUUUCAGUUAUGCAAACGAACCUGGAAAUGCUGCACAUCAUACUAAUGAAACUCUGUCUGCCGAGCAUCCUGGGACAAAUGUAUGUGUACUUUGUACAUUUGUGUGUGAAGUGUGCUCAU